GUGGGAUUUAAAACAAUUAAGCCUAGGCCCACCUGCCACUAACUAUAUAAAACUUUCAAUCUAUAAAUCUUUUUUUUAGCAGGAGAAGCUUAAGGAUUUGAUCGGAAAAAAUCUUUGGGGGUUUGAGAGAACGCAGGUGACAGUGAGGAUUGCGUUGGCUAGAGGUUCCGAGUAGCAUAUUCCUGGAUUUCCUCUCAUGUUUUGGAGAUGGAUUUUAUGUUGUCAUUUGGUGGUAUUGGUGACUUCUUACGUGGCAAUGAUGUGACAGUGAUGUGGCGUUGAUGUGUAGGCGAGUGUAGCACACUCUCCAUUGUGAGAGUGGUAUUUAAUUUGGAGGGGUGAAAUUAAUACACUUUAAAGAUGUUAAGGAGAUAAAUAAACAGAAGUUAAGUUUAAGUGCUAAAAUAAGUUGAGCGGACAAGUUUGAGGAAAAAAAUAUGACUUUUCUCUAAAAAAUAAGAUGAAAAAAAAGGGUAAAGGACAUGACUAUAUUUGAGGGAGGUGAAAUAGUGGAGUGAAAAUAGAAAAAUGUAAAGUAGUGAGAGUAAAACAUGCACUUGCCUAUUUAAUGAGUAAAAUAAUGUUACUCUUGUUAUAAACUGAAAUUUUACACAAGUAUUGUUAUUUAUUAUAAUUAUAGUCUUAACUAAGAUACUUUGUGUAAUUUUUUCAUUAUAAAAGGGCCUUAGAUUUCAUUUUUCAUUAUUGGAAUGGAAGAAAAAAGAUGUCUAUUAUAUGUAAAGUCCAUUGCUAUUUUUCAACAAAUUAUUUUUAUUUUAUAUAUUCUAUAUUAAUUAACGACUUGACAUAAAACACGUUCACACGUAGUGUAUAAAAGCUAUAAAAAUAUUUAAAAUAUAUUUCAAAUUCAUUUAUAUUAAUUAAAUAACCGUAUUCUUGCGCAGAUUAAUAGGUAUAUCACAUUAAACACUAACUCUAAUUUUGAAAAUUUCAAAUAAUUCAUGGGUUCCUCUUAUUUUAUACCAAUCCCAAUCAACAUCGGAUUAUUUUAGUACCAAUUAGUAGCCCUUAAUUGGUCUUUCUCGGCAUAUAAUAAUAACUAGUCGUAUCUUACGCGCCUCACGUGUGUAUCUCGCUCAAGAAAUUCAGUCAACAAAAUCACUUUGAUAUUAUAAAAUUAAAAUAUGCUUGAAUUAAGAAAUAAAUUUAUUUAUUUAUUUAAUACGAAAAAUACUUAAAUAUAAAACUAAUAUAAACAUACAAAUCAUAUAAAAGACA